UCUAUGUUCUCGGGCAAGAGCUCGGUGUGGAUAUUUGCACACCGUCUAGCAUCAAGGGAACUCGCUGGAUCCCCCAUGUCCACAGAGCCCUCAAAGUGUUCCUACGGCAUGUACAAGACAAGGACCUUGCCACUGACGAAGGCCAGUACUCCGCUGUUCUGCAGCACAUGGAACACCUGGCCAUAGCAUCAACAACAGCAGAAGUUCAAGGGCGGGCAAAGAAGAUAAAGCGGGAAAUGGAGAAUGCACUCGUGUAUUCUGCCAUUUUCUCUCAGACAUGUUUGAGGAGCUAUCCUCACUUAGCCUCACCCUGCAAAGGAAUGACCUGAUCCUCCCCCAAGCCACAUCAGAGUUGAGGAAGACAGUGACCAGACUGGAAGCACUAAAGCUUAGGGCAAAGGCAGGAGGCAUGCUGGAGAAGAUCCAGACCAUGCUUGCUCAGCAGCAGGGUGAUGAGUGGUGAUUCCAGGGAAUAACACUGAAGGGGAAUCUGAAAGGCUUCACGGACCUCACCAAUCCCCAGCUGAAGCAGCACAUGGAGGCGGCCAUCAACAUCGGUGUGG